UUCAGAGGCCCCGAGCGUUAAUCGGAGUUACUGGGCUUAAAGGGUGCGUAGGCCGGCCCGCAAGUGCUUUGUGAAAUCCCACGGAUCAACCGUGGAAUAGCUUGGCAUACUGCGGGCCUUGAGGUCGGUAGAGGUCGCUGGAACUGUAGGUGUAGCGGUGAAAUGCGUAGAUAUCUACAGGAACGCCAAAGGUGAAGACAGGCGACUGGGCCGAUUCUGACGCUGAGGCACGAAAGCUAGGGUAGCGAACGGG
rnacentral:rRNA from 1 species